CCUCCCAGUUCCCACAAUCCCCUCCCAAUUCUCCCUUAGUCCAUCCCAGUUUUUCCCAGUCCCUCCCAGUAUAACCUAGUCCCUCUCAGUUCCCUCCAGGUCCCUCCCAGUUAACCAAUCCCCUCCCAGUUCAUCCCAGUCCCCUCCCAGUCUGUCCCAGUCCCUCCCAGUCGCCUCCCAGUUCCCCCAGCUCCCCCCAGUUUGUCCCAGUCCCACCCCACUCAGGAAUUCCAGUGACUCAUCCACUCCCCAGUCCACUCCCAGUAUAACCCAGUCCACUCCCAGUCUGUCCCAGUUCCUCCCACUUUGUCCUAGUCCCCUCCCAGUAUAAUCCAGUCCCUCCCAGUUCCCUCCAGGUCCCUCGCAGGUUACCCAAUCCCCUCCCAGUUCAUCCCAGUCCCUCCCAGUUUGUCCCAGUCCCUCCCAGUUCCCUCCCAGUCCCUCCCAGUCCAUCCCAGUUUGUCCCAGUUUGCCCAGUCACCCCCCUUCCCCCCAGGGGUCAAAGGUCACGGCAUGGAGCGGGAAAGCCUCGGGAUACUGGUGAUACUGGGAGUUCUGUCCCUGGCCAGAGGGGAUCCCCCUGAUGCCACCGACCCCUUCCAUUACGGUGAGUGCGGGGAACUGGGAGGGACUGGGACAAACUGGGAUGGACUGGGAUGGACUGGAAAU